AGGGAGGACAGUGAGCUAGCUAGGGGCUAGCUAAAUCUAGAGACCACUGAAGGUGAGCCAAGAAGAAGGGUCCAUGGAGAGAGCAGGGUAGGGCUGUAAUGGCUCAUGCUUGAAGCCCUAAGUCCACAUCUUGGAGAUGGUGUGAGCAGCACAAAGAACCCAAACUGAGCCCUAAACUGGUCCAGGGAGGAAGAGAAGAUAGAUCAGUUGGAACCUGAAGCUUCCCAAGCAGGCGAUGAAGGUUGGGGCAGCAAUAUGUGGAAAGAGCUGAGGGGUCAGUAUAGAAGCAGAGAGAGUCCUUACAAAGAGCAGAGGGCAGAGAGAUGACUUAGCAAUAGAGCUACGGUGAGUGGCAAGUUCCUCUUGAACCUUUGGGAGAAACGUACUCAGUACCUUCAUGAACAAGCACAUGAGGAUAUAAAGAGAUGAAAGGCAGCCUUCAGGGAGUAUCCAAGCCCGGCAAGUGAGUAUAUAAUCUCCAUGAAGACAGGACAGCUCUCCUGACUGCUGGAGUGAGUGAUGGAAUCU
rnacentral:lncRNA from 1 species